rnacentral:rRNA from 1 species
CAUGCAAGUCGAACGAGAAUCUACUGAAAGAGUUUUCGGACAAUGGAUGUAGAGGAAAGUGGCGGACGGGUGAGUAACGCGUGAGGAACCUGCCUUGAAGAGGGGGACAACAGUUGGAAACGACUGCUAAUACCGCAUGACGCAUAGAGGUCGCAUGAUCUUUAUGCCAAAGAUUUAUCGCUUCAAGAUGGCCUCGCGUCUGAUUAGCUGGUUGGCGGGGUAACGGCCCACCAAGGCGACGAUCAGUAGCCGGACUGAGAGGUUGAACGGCCACAUUGGGACUGAGAUACGGCCCAGACUCCUACGGGAGGCAGCAGUGGGGAAUAUUGGGCAAUGGGCGCAAGCCUGACCCAGCAACGCUGCGUGAAGGAAGAAGGCUUUCGGGUUGUAAACUUCUUUUAAGAGGGAAGAGCAGAAGACGGUACCUCUAGAAUAAGCCACGGCUAACUACGUGCCAGCAGCCGCGGUAAUACGUAGGUGGCAAGCGUUGUCCGGAUUUACUGGGUGUAAAGGGCGUGCAGCCGGGUCUGCAAGUCAGAUGUGAAAUCCAUGGGCUCAACCCAUGAACUGCAUUUGAAACUGUAGAUCUUGAGUGUCGGAGGGGCAAUCGGAAUUCCUAGUGUAGCGGUGAAAUGCGUAGAUAUUAGGAGGAACACCAGUGGCGAAGGCGGAUUGCUGGACGAUAACUGACGGUGAGGCGCGAAAGUGUGGGGAGCAAACAGGAUUAGAUACCCUGGUAGUCCACACUGUAA